rnacentral:rRNA from 1 species
GACGAACGCUGGCGGCGUGCUUAACACAUGCAAGUCGAACGGAAAGGCCCUGCUUGCAGGGUACUCGAGUGGCGAACGGGUGAGUAACACGUGGGUGAUCUGCCCUGCACUUCGGGAUAAGCCUGGGAAACUGGGUCUAAUACCGGAUAGGAGCCAUUUUUAGUGUGAUGGUUGGAAAGUUUUUUCGGUGUAGGAUGAGCUCGCGGCCUAUCAGCUUGUUGGUGGGGUAAUGGCCUACCAAGGCGGCGACGGGUAGCCGGCCUGAGAGGGUGGACGGCCACCUUGGGACUGAGAUACGGCCCAGACUCCUACGGGAGGCAGCAGUGGGGAAUAUUGCACAAUGGGCGCAAGCCUGAUGCAGCGACGCCGCGUGGGGGAUGACGGCCUUCGGGUUGUAAACUCCUUUCGCUAGGGACGAAGCUUUUUGUGACGGUACCUAGAUAAGAAGCACCGGCUAACUACGUG